rnacentral:rRNA from 1 species
AUCCAGACUCCUACGGGAGGCAGCAGUGGGGAAUAUUGCGCAAUGGGGGCAACCCUGACGCAGCAACGCCGCGUGCAGGAAGAAGGUCUUCGGAUUGUAAACUGUUGUCGCAAGGGAAGAAGACAGUGACGGUACCUUGUGAGAAAGUCACGGCUAACUACGUGCCAGCAGCCGCGGUAAUACGUAGGUGACAAGCGUUGUCCGGAUUUACUGGGUGUAAAGGGCGCGCAGACGGCGAUGCAAGCCAGGAGUGAAAGCCCGGGGCCCAACCCCGGGACUGCUCUUGGAACUGCGUGGCUGGAGUGCAGGAGGGGCAGGCGGAAUUCCUGGUGUAGCGGUGAAAUGCGUAGAUAUCAGGAGGAACACCGGUGGCGAAGGCGGCCUGCUGGACUGCAACUGACGUUGAGGCCCGAAAGCGUGGGGAGCAAACAGGAUUAGAUACCCUAGUAC